rnacentral:rRNA from 1 species
AACGAAUCGCAUGGCCUUGUGCCGGCGAUGGUUCAUUCAAAUUUCUGCCCUAUCAACUUUCGAUGUUAAUGUAUUGGAUUAACAUGGUUUCAACGGGUAACGGGGAAUUAGGGUUCUAUUCCGGAGAGGGAGCCUGAGAAACGGCUACCACAUCCAAGGAAGGCAGCAGGCGCGCAAAUUACCCAAUCCCGACUCGGGGAGGUAGUGACAAUAAAUACUGAUACAGGGCUCUUUUGGGUCUUGUAAUUGGAAUGAGUACAAUUUAAAUCCCUUAACGAGGAACAAUUGGAGGGCAAGUCUGGUGCCAGCAGCCGCGGUAAUUCCAGCUCCAAUAGCGUAUAUUAAAGUUGUUGCAGUUAAAAAGCUCGUAGUUGAACCUUGGGCCUGGCUGGCCGGUCCGCCUCACCGCGUGCACUGGUCCGGCCGGGCCUUUCCUCCUGGGGAGCCGCAUGCCCUUCACUGGGUGUGUCGGGGAUCCAGGACUUUUACUUUGAAAAAAUUAGAGUGUUCAAAGCAGGCAUUUGCUCGGAUACAUUAGCAUGGAAUAAUGAAAUAGGACGUGUGGUCUUAUUUUGUUGGUUUCUAAGACCGCCGUAAUGAUUAAUAGGGAUAGUCGGGGGCAUCAGUAUUCGAUUGUCAGAGGUGAAAUUCUUGGAUUUAUUGAAGACUAACUACUGCGAAAGCAUUUGCCAAGGAUGUUUUCAUUAAUCAGUGAACGAAAGUUAGGGGAUCGAAGACGAUCAGAUACCGUCGUAGUCUUAACCAUAAACUAUGCCGACUAGGGAUCGGGCGAUGUUAUCUUUUUGACUCGCUCGGCACCUUACGAGAAAUCAAAGUC